rnacentral:rRNA from 1 species
GACGAACGCUGGCGGCGUGCCUAAUACAUGCAAGUCGAGCGAAUCGAUGGGAGCUUGCUCCCUGAGAUUAGCGGCGGACGGGUGAGUAACACGUGGGUAACCUGCCUGUAAGACUGGGAUAACUUCGGGAAACCGGAGCUAAUACCGGAUACUUUCUUUUCUCGCAUGAGGGAAGAUGGAAAGAUGGUUCUGCUAUCACUUACAGGUGGACCCGCGGCGCAUUAGCUAGUUGGUGAGGUAAUGGCUCACCAAGGCGACGAUGCGUAGCCGACCUGAGAGGGUGAUCGGCCACACUGGGACUGAGACACGGCCCAGACUCCUACGGGAGGCAGCAGUAGGGAAUCUUCCGCAAUGGACGAAAGUCUGACGGAGCAACGCCGCGUGAGCGAAGAAGGCCUUCGGGUCGUAAAGCUCUGUUGUUAGGGAAGAACAAGUAUCGGAGUAACUGCCGGUACCUUGACGGUACCUAACCAGAAAGCCACGGCUAACUACGUGCCAGCAGCCGCCGUAA